UACAGAGGGUGCAAGCGUUGUUCGGAAUUAUUGGGCGUAAAGCGCGUGUAGGCGGCAGUGCAAGUCGGGUGUGAAAGCCCUCAGCUCAACUGAGGAAGUGCGCUCGAAACUGCAUUGCUUGAGUACCGGAGAGGAUGGCGGAAUUCCCGAAGUAGAGGUGAAAUUCGUAGAUAUCGGGAGGAACACCGGUGGCGAAGGCGGCCAUCUGGACGGAUACUGACGCUGAGACGCGAAAGCGUGGGGUAGCAAACAGG
rnacentral:rRNA from 1 species